AUAGUCACAAAAAAAUAUCCUAUCAGCUUUGCAUCGAAGCUAAAAUCUAAAAUAUAGUAAAAUAAUUUUAAUAUGAAUAAGAAAUUUCUUCUUGAAAUUUGAUAAAAAUCAAAUUUAUUCUAACUUAAAAAGAAUUUAAGAAAAAAUACAAAAAAUUCAUUGCCAUACGCGGGUUGGAACAUUGUACCCCAAGCACGUAAAACACAAGUUUUACCGACUCGGCAACUGUACGUCGCUAACGUUGGCUGAAAAAAAAUUUCAAUUUAAGCUAGUUCAAAUUUCAAAGCUAUUUUUUUCGACUUAAAAAAUGCAAAAAAAUUUAAAUAAGUUUAACUUUCUAUACUAUAUCAAUUUGAUUUUUAUAAUAUUUAUGAAAAUCAGUGUACUCCUCUUGUCAGAUAUUUUAAAUUAAAAUAAAAUACAAAAUCCAGAAUUUUAACACAAAAAUAGCAUAUUUUUGAAUGAUGGUAGUCAUUUUCACCAUGAAGACAAGUCCAGAGGUCAAAUUUUUUUUUUUUCAAAUUAAAGUAUAUUACAUUAGCUUUAAUUUAAGAUAUAUAUAAAAGUGUCAGACCUUCCGGAACAUUUUCAAAAGUUAAGUUGAAAAAGUUAAUUUUUUGUAAAAAAAUUGUCAUUUUAAAUCCCCCCCUAUGGGCAAGUUAAGUGUCAGAUUUACAAAAAAUAUAUACCAAAUGAUAGAUAAAGACAUCAAGCAUCAAAAAAAAAAAAAAAAUUAUAUUAAUAUGUUCAUUUUUGAAAAAGUUACGGCAGUUUUUAGUAAAAAAAAUUGAAAAAAUUAGCGAUUUUUAAAUUUGAAAUUUUUUUGGAGGUUUCCCCCAUUUACGGGGAACGAGGGAAAUUUUUUCAAUUUUGAAGGGUAAUGUCUUCGACUAGAUACGAUUUGUGAUCUUUUGACGUAUCGUUGAAAGAAAUCCGUUCGGUGAGAGCUGAGAAAAAGUGGUAACAGACAGAAAAAAAAAAAAAAAAACACAUCAUAG